rnacentral:rRNA from 1 species
CCUACGGGGGGCAGCAGUGGGGAAUAUUGGACAAUGGGGGGAACCCUGAUCCAGCGACGCCGCGUGAGUGAAGAAGUAUUUCGGUAUGUAAAGCUCUAUCAGCAGGGAAGAAAGAAAUGACGGUACCUGACUAAGAAGCCCCGGCUAACUACGUGCCAGCAGCCGCGGUAAUACGUAGGGGGCAAUCGUUAUCCGGAUUUACUGGGUGUAAAGGGAGCGUAGACGGCGAUGCAAGUCUGAAGUGAAAGGCGGGGGCCCAACCCCCGGACUGCUUUGGAAACUGUAUGGCUGGAGUGCAGGGGAGGUAAGUGGAAUUCCUAGUGUAGCGGUGAAAUGCGUAGAUAUUAGGAGGAACACCAGUGGCGAAGGCGGCUUACUGGACUGUAACUGACGUUGAGGCUCGAAAGCGUGGGGAGCAAACAGGAUUAGAUACCCUGGUAGUC